rnacentral:rRNA from 1 species
AUUGAACGCUGGCGGCAGGCCUAACACAUGCAAGUCGAACGAGUGGCGGACGGGUGAGUAAUGUAUGGGAAUCUAGCUUAUGGAGGGGGAUAACUACGGGAAACUGUAGCUAAUACCGCGUACCAUAGGAUGAGCCCAAGUGGGAUUAGGUAGUUGGUGGGGUAAAGGCUCACCAAGGCGACGAUCUCUAGCUGGUCUGAGAGGAUGACCAGCCACACUGGGACUGAGACACGGCCCAGACUCCGACGGGAGGCAGCAGUGGGGAAUAUUGCGCAAUGGGGGCAACCUGACGCAGCCAUGCCGCGUGUAUGAAGAAGGCCUUCGGGUUGUAAAGUACUUUCGGUAGCGAGGCGUUACCUACAGAAGAAGCACCGGCUAACUCCGUGCCAGCAGCCGCGGUAAUAC